GCUAGCCAGGAUCCGUGAAAUGGUGAAUGCCAAUCUUCAUCAAGAUCAGACAAUUUUCCCUUGUCAAAAGUAACAUGCAGAGUGGCCCUCCUUUGUUGUAACUUUCUUGUAACUUGGAUGUUACUGAAUUAGUGCUUUUCAGUCCAACCCUAGCCAUGUAAAUAAGUCAGAAGAAAGUCCUGUUGAAUUAAAGGGGGGCAGGGUUACUCUCAGCAUCUGAUACUUCUCAAAGCAACAUCCAUUCAUUAUGCUGAAGACACAUCCUAAAAAUGGUACCUAGAAGCAAGUUCUCAGGCAAAACAGAGAGGACAGAAGAAAAUUCCCUGUUAAUGGGAAGUUGUGCUGAGCAAGAUCUGCAGGCUUGGUACAGGAAUGGACCAAUGAACAUCACUGCUUGUUACUCCAGAGGCAUGGGAACAGAUAUAGGAUUACCUUCUUCAUUUGUUCAGACCUCCUCCUAACUGGACUAGCCACAUAUCUCUGCAUGUAUCCUGUUGUACUGGUGCUUUGUUUUCAAAACAGUCUGCAUGGAAAUACCAGCUCUUUGAAUCAUCUAAAUGUGAGUUGCUUGUAAACGUUGCAGUAGCUUCAUUCUUACUCUGGCAAAGCUAUGUGAACAGUGUAAUGUGUAAUAAAACAGCACGAUUUGAUAGAUUUAGACAGCUGCCUCAUUCUCUAGAAGUUCACAUUUUGUUAAUGCCACCCCCACGUUGAAUAAGAGAAGAUUAGAAGGUAAGGUCAAUGUACGAAAAUGGUUGCCAGGACAUUUUUUUUUUAAUUGUAAAACUUUUUGUGAUGUGAUUCAGUAAAAAGACUAUAGGGAGAAAGCAAUGGAGACAAAGGGCUGCUAUUAACCUACAGAUGCAGGCUAUUGCAGGGUUCAUUGCGAGAUUUGUCACACUGCUUAGCCAAUGACGUGCUAGCAGGACUGGAAGAGACCACCCUUUUCUGGGGUAAGAGGGUAAUUUGGUCUCCAUGCUCAUUUAAUCCUGAACCUUCUCUGAAUAGAGUGUCAGUUGGGUCUACAUUGUGCAAAAUUAUGCAUGCACUUUUUAAUGCUGCCCCAUUGUUCACUAAGCACUCGACCAAGAUUUCUCAACCAAUUUCCAUUUGUCAGGAGGUCACUUGAAACCCAAGAGGAAUCAUAGGUGGAUGGCAAGUGCAGGCUCUGCUUCCUUCUGCUGCCUCUAAAACAGAUGUUUGGACACCAACAGCUUACCUAUUGCGUUUUGCUUACAAAUUGCAGCAGUACUAAAAUUUAUGAAGAAAUGGCUUGAUUUCAUUUAGUGACUGAAGAACUCACUCUUAUAAAUGCAUUCCCUCUCCUACAGAUACCAUUGUCAAGGAGGCUGGGGAUGUUUGGUCAAAGUGUCAGGCUACAUUGCUUAAAACAUUGCACACUGUUGGUGUAGGAGGAACAGGUGUUUGAUGAACUGUGGGACGAAGGGCACCCUUGCUCUUCCCUUCUCUCUGUGUGGGAAGACUUCUCUGCAAAAACAAUAGCACAAAGAGAAAUUGAUAUACACCGCAAGUAUGAACACACAGACUACAGCACAAGUAUUGCAGGAAUAAGCAUUUUAAAUUCUGAGGGUGAUCCUAUAGUUCCAAUAUUAAUCAAUACUUUAACAAUUCUGAAUACAGCAUGUACAUCAAAUUUAUUGAUACAUUUACAAAAAGGAAACAGCAUUAUGUUAACUCUCCAAGAAACAUUUACAUUUUGAACCAUAUUUGGCAAUAAUCAUAAUUUUAAUGAUUUGUACAAGUGUCCUCUUAACACAGGCAAGACUUUAGCUAAAGUGAGCUCCCAUCCAGUGAAGUUCCAUUCAAUGUGAAUUCUGUAAUAAAUUCAAAUACCAUAUAAAAAUGGGCCUGUCCUGAUAUAGUGGAAAGAACUCUAUCAACAUUUGCAGCGACUGGUUGAUUGGCUGCAGCUGUUUCUCCGUCGAUUACGAACAAAGGCUGACACAAGGAUACAUUUCUACAUUAUGUCCACAACACAUUAAAGAGUGUGUUUGCUCUUUUGCUCCCCGUCAUUCCAAUUAAUUUGGAGAAAAAUGUAACUUUAGUAUUUGACAGGACAUGGCAAAGCUGUUCAUCUAGAUGAUGUCUAUAUUAUAAAAAAUUAAAAUAAAAUAAUAUAAAUAUGUAACACAAACCCAGUGCCCAUUGUUAAAUAAGAUAUUCAGUAAAAAAACAAAAAAACAAAAAACAAAAAAACAGACCUUCUACAAUGACUGGUUUUAAAAUAUGCAGAUAUAAUUUAAUUAUGAAGAACUUGAAACAGUGUGGAAAUUAAGCUGCAAUAGCCAGAUUUUUGCAUCUAUGCCAGAUAAAGUAGUUAAGUGCAUAACAUUCUGUUACAUUGAUAGAAGUGUAGAUUACAAUCUUACAAUGAAUUGCCUAUAUAAGAAUGCAUUCAGGAGUUCCGAAACAUUGUCUUAAAACAGUGGGGUAGAUUCACAUGGUCAUGUUUUUGAUACGCUAACUGCAAUUUUAACGUCAUAAUUUGUUCAUCUGAAGAUUCCAGUGGAUAAUAGCUCUUACUAAAAUACCCUUUUCCCAUCCUGUUCAGAGAACAGCUUUUAAUGGAAAGGA